rnacentral:lncRNA from 1 species
ACUGCUUGACAUAGAACAAAUCAGCUCUUAUUACAAGAAUAAAUACAAAGGUCUGAUGUUACAAAUGUUCACAUCAGCACGACGACACUACGCCUGCGAUACUACACUUGCUCUAUGCUAGCAGCGGAACAACUCGAAGCAGCGGAAAUCUUCUAGCAGCGGAACAACGACGAAGGUGGUGAACUCCACUCCGUAGGGACUCUGGCUGGGACACAAUCUAGCUCGCACGAACGGAAACCACGACAAGCAAUCAAGCAAUCACGGCAUCACCUGCAAUCUAUCAUGACACGCCAGGUUAGUACAUUGAAUAUACUUGCAAGCUCACAACAACCAAAAGCAUCAAGGCAAGACAACAACAUGGCAUCAAGGCAAGACAACAACAUGACAACAACAACCUCGUGACCACAUCACAAACUGAAUGAUCAUCCUCAAGAUCAUCAUCAACAUCCUGCCAAAUUGUUAUUGCUCACAUACAUCAUAUAAAUCAACUAUAAGUCAGUCCGUCACGUGAGUGUUGAUCGAACGGUGUGACCUAGUACGGACACGGCUAUCGAUAGUUUAAACACACACUCUGCAGAGGUAGUGCACUGUAUCCACACCACGGAACCCAUGGCCUCGCACUCCCAUUCGGCUGGACCAACGACGUUCCGACAAAACCGAUCUACUGCCAUGAAACUCUCCCGGCCACUCCGACCAACACCGCCUUUGGGUUCAGUCCAGGGUGGCCCCGUUCCUACCAAAGGCACCAACGGCCAUCGUCGUGGCAAAACAGCCACCGUUGUGGCAACCAAAAACGGUCCCAAACGGGGGCAAAAGCGCGCAAAAUCCAACUACGGGCACACAAGGCUUAUGUCCGCCUACCUGAUCAGGGUAGCGCGCCCAUAACCUUCCCUCGCUGGAGGCACCGGCGAGAGACACGCCAAUAGCAUCGCAUUAGGGCCUUCCCAUAAAGGCAAAUGUGGUUGCACUGGAGAAAGCCCGGUUUGGUGGCACCUGACCAACUUAAUGACGGAAUUUAUCCCCAAAAAUAUAACUGUGAUAACUGAUACUCCGAUAUCAACUAUCAAACUAUAAUCCAAGUCGUAGCAAUAUCCAACAAAUAAUCUGGGCAUAAUAUCAUCAUAUCAAAAUACUCCAUGGAUAGCAUGACAUUUCUAUCAUGAUGAAUCUGAAAACAAUAACUCUACUACUCCAAUAACAAGAACAAAGCUAUCCAGCUAAGAUCCACACGUAAACAUCAUCUCCAAAAUUAAUACUCCAAGCAACAGUAACAGAACAUCGACUAGCAUCAUGAAAAUAAUCAUACUAACCACUAAUAAUCCAAAGGCAACAUGACAUCCAAAGUAAUACUCCAAAAUAUAAUAACACAUAUCAUCAUGAAAACAAUCAUAUAUCAACCACUAAUACUCUAAUGGCAUCAUGAUACUCAUCAACUACAAACAUAACUCCUAGUAAUCCAAACAAUAGCAUGGCAACAACAAGAUCAAAAUAAUACUCCGAGAAAAUGCCAUGCACAAAGUCAUGUAGCUAAAGCAAUAUUUAAACAAGUUCAAAUAGAUUAAACCAUGUCACUGCAUUACAGUUAUGCAAAUGGAGGGUGUGGCUUGCCUGGGAUGGAAGAAAUCACCGGGAGAAAGCGCGAGAAACUCACAGAAAGGAUCGCCAGAAAACAUACUCUCUCGGAGGGGCUUGAAUAAGGGCAGGGGCAAAAUGGUCAUUUUCAGAAUGUCAAAACAUGGUGAAAAUGGUUCCACCAGAACGGGCUCGAUGAAACAAAGACUUGGGCUUUGGAAUCACCUGAUUUGGAGCUACGGUUGAAAAGAUACACUUGUUUUUCUGCCAAGGACCUAUUUGUAAGAAAAAUCUUAACAAAUUGGGCCUGGACAGAAAAACAGAAAGCGUACUUUAAAGAAUAGGCCUUCACUUCAGGGAAAACGCAUUCCUUGCUGAAACAGACACAAAAUACGCUUUCAGGUAAGGGAAGCGUACUUUGGCUGAAGGAGAAGGAAAAGACGCUUUCUAAAAGCGAAAACGCACUCACGGGUUUACGCCUCCACUUAAUCCAGUCAGCAAGGCGGGGCUGCGGCUUGAGCAGCUGCCAGGUGGGACCGUGGGGUCCACGACCAGCUGGCAGGGAGCGGCCUCUCCUUCCUCUCGCCCGACGCGCGCCCGCAAUGCAUAGGAGGCAGCAGCGAGGCGGCGCCGGCCCAGCCAUCUCCGGCCACCUCCCGCCCGAGUGAGGGCACUGGCGAGUGCGGCGAGACGUGCCGCACCCGUCUGCCCCCCGUAGCAGCGCCAGGACGGAGCGGAACGACGGCGGCUUGCGGCGACCGAGAAUGAGGGCGGCGGCCGAAACUUGGGCGCGUGGCCACAACUGCUCCGGCGAGGAAAAGAGGGAUGGGAGAGGUUCGCUGGGGUCUGGUUGAGCUACUGGUGGAGGAGGAAUGAGGAGAGGGGCUCCGGCUUGAGCCAAUCGGGGAGGGUGGCCGCGGCGGCCAUGGCAGCCAACCAAAGCGAUGAGGGGCUCUGGAGUCGAACGGAUGGGUCUGGGAGGUUGCUGGGAGGGUGAGGAAGAACUUGGAGUGCUCAGAGGGCUCAGGGGAGGCCUUAAAUAGGCGUGAGGCGAGGAGGUCGAGCUGGCAUCACCGUGGCUACGUGUCUGGCGCCGCGGAUGCGUGUGCACACGCAUGAACUCGGAGUUAGGUGACGAGAGGGGACAGGAGGGAGAGCUCACGGGGAAGAGGGGGCCAAGGGAGCGCAGGUAGGAAGACGACGGCGACAAACCGAGCCAAAACGCCAUUGUACGUCUGUGGGCACGCUGCGGUUUGCGUCAUUGAGGAAGCUGACGGAGGGGGAGAGGGGUCCAGGGGAACGACAGCGACGAGAUGCAGCCACUGGACAUGCUCAUGAGCUCUAAGACGACGAGAGGUAGCGGUGCCAAAGCACAAACGGUGCUCUGGACACGCCACAGCACAUAGAGCGCGUAAAUGUGCAUGCCAGCUGCGCGGUCACCACACGACAUGGCACGGGGAGGGCUGUAGAGGAUGGCAAACUAUGUCUGGGAGCUAGUCCUUCAAGGGUGGAUAAUUUAUGAUUCCAUGGCUUGAUCUGGGGUGCUAUGGUUAAAUGGUAAAUAAGCUCUAAAGUUUACUGCAUCAAACUUGGAGAGCACUGCUGAUCAACAGGAAACUGAUUGGGUCAAAUGGUGUUGUCUGGGAUGAUUAACUAUGGAAGGUUGUGAUCCUGGAGGUUUUGGAGCAUAAUGGAGCACAAACUAAUAUAGUUGCUGUUUAACCCCAAAAUUGGUCCAGAAUCAAGAUUUGGAUGAUGCACUCACAUGGUGUUAUGGAAUGGGAUGCAACUUUGCAAAUCCUCAUGAUAUAGACAUAUAAAGAUGCUGUAAAAAGCUCAUGCCAAAUGGAUAAGCCAAAAUGGCACUUGCUUCACAAGCAUCAUUUCUGUCCAGAAACUUGAAAUAAUUUUGGUGAUCAAAUGGAUCCAUGAAAUGAUGCCAAAUUGGAUGGAGAGAUGUUUUGAAUUAUCUGGUAAUUUAUCAGGAUUUUUUAAGCAAUAUAAAAUACACUUGCUUCACAACCUGAAAAUAUUGCCAGAAUCAAAUAUUUGCUCCUGUGCUCACAUAGAUGAUUGGAUGAGGCUGCAAAUGGGUGGAGGGGUUAAUAUGAGCACAUUAAGGAGUGUGCAAAAGUUUAACUCAUUUGGAUACACCUAGCUAGUAUUUCCUUCACAAAGCCUUCUAUCUGACAGAAACUUUGAAAAUUCACUGAGGAAGAUUGGCUAGGCAAAUAAAGUUGAACUUGUGCAUGAGGCAAUUAUAUGGACAUAUAAGCAUGCCCAAACAUCUUGGGAGCCACUAGGAAAAUAUAAAUGGCACUUCCUUCGCAAAGUGCCAUUCAGGAUAGAAAUGAAGAAUGAUUAUUGGGGAAUUAUUCUUGGGCUAGAACAGGGAAGUUUGUGCAUAUUUCAUUAACAUAUGACCCAAAGGAAUUUUGAGAAUUAAUUGGGAAUUUUUGGAUGGACAAAAAUAUGGGUUGCUUCACAACCUAGGGCAGAUAGGGUUAUCCCUUUAUUAGAAAAAGAAAUAUUCCCUAGAAAAGAUUUUAGGGUUUGGUCAAGGAGUGAAGUGACAUGAUCUUGGCAAGGUUUUGAGAAUGCUGAGCCACUUGGGAGGGGGAAUGAGGGUGAUUUCCCAGGUGGCAAGGCCACAGAACCACUUCAAAAAGAAAAACAGAGCAAAAACCAAAUAAAUCAAAAGAAAAAGGAAAGGCCAAAAUCCAGGCUGUUACAACUCUUACCCCCUUAAAGAAAUCUCCUCCUCGAGAUUUAGUUGCUCUGGGAACAAGUAUGACUUGAGGAUACCGUUUCCAACUCGGGUAUCCUUUUUCCUUUAUUUAUUGUUCCCCCAAGAAUUUCAUAUGAUCAACUUACCUUGCUCUGGGGUGGCUUGUUUCACCUUUCCCCAAAUCCUGAUGAGUUUUUGCUCAUAUACCACUUCCUUUUGCUGACGUGAAUUUUCUCAUAUCUGCGGUGAUAUCCAAUGGAUCUGAGCAUAAAUUUUCCUUUGGUCAUGAAAACCUUUUUACUUCUGCCAUGGGGUUGCUUCAAAUAAAUGCAAGCCUUCUGUGUUCAAUAAGUGCUUAGAAUUAAUCAUGGCCAUCUUCUGACGGGAUCUAACUGCUCAUAGGUGGCACUAAUUUAUCUUGAUUUAUUUCCUUUGGCUCGAGCAUGUGGCAUAUACCAGAGAUUUGACUGCCUUCUGUCGUGAGCAACAUAACGGUGUAUGGAGUUAUAGCUAUGUCAUACCUCAAAUAUUUACAUCUUGAUACAUUGCCCGACAGGGGGUUGACGGACAAAUGCUUUUCCUGACAUAUUGACCAUGUACUUGAUUCCGUCGGUGAGUAUACCGGGUCUGAGCUGAUUAUUCGGCUUUUGACUUUCUCAUUUUGUCGGUAUACCCAUCUUUGGUAAUACGCUGUGAUAUUUUUUAACACUUCCGCUGAGGUCAAACUGUUGAGGUUGCAAAGGAAUCUUGGAUCUGACAGAACAGACUUGGAUAUUCCACACUAACCAUGUCAAACGGGUCAGCGGGAUAUGAAAAUCCUUGUAAAUAGAGUAGGCUGCUGAAGGUGUAUGUCUUUGUGGAUCCAUAUGGAAUUCUGGCCUCCAACUGCCUUGGGGUAUCCGGACCCUAAUGGUCGUGCAAAAUCAUCAUACCUUUGUUGUCAGUCUCACCUAUUAACGGUCAUGAUUUUCUUUGUCAGGAUACCUUGCUGAAAUAACUUGGGCACGCAUGUCCUUGAUUCUUCGUAUGACCAUGGAUGUGAUUAAUAUUUUUGACAUUAUUCCUUGUGCUUGUUCUUCUGACCUGUGUCCGCACAUAUAUGACAUAUACUCGGGGUUUGUAGUUGUACGGAGCUCAUUGCUGAGGCCAAUCAUACAAGAAGGUGACAAGGUUUCAUGAUAUCACCUUGUCUGGUGCGGGAAUAAUGACCUUGAUGACCAUUGUCAAGACUGUGGAUUCUGUGAUGUCAUCCCCAGAUCUUGUCAAUCCUUGUAAUUCAUGAGAUGUAUCUCUGCUUAUUUUCCUUUACUUGACUCGUGAGGUUGUUGAAUCCUUACUUUCCUUAGGUAUAUCUGCUGGAUCCUUACCGCAUCUCAUAUGAGUGACUGAUAUGACUGGGGAUACAUGUUCACCAUAUAUGCGAAAAGAUACGUAAUCGAACACUUGAUUUCUGAAGAAGACCUAUGCCUUGACUGAUUUGUGCUUCUGACAAAAAUGUUGCGAGUCUAAUUCUUCAGCGAUACUUCCAUAUAUUGGCAACUCAUCAUAUAAUCUCUGAGGAUGGUGUAAUAGUAUGAUACUGACGCAGACUGAAUGGCUUAUGAAAGAAGUCAUCUGAGUAGCUUACUGAGGAGGACUUGUUAACUUCUGCUCAAAUCUUUUGUCUGGGUAUCGUGUAGAAAAAGGCUCUAUAGCUUACACACGAAGCUUGGUCUGAUUAUUGUGCUGGAGAAGCCUGAGUCCCGUACUUGAGAAGCUUCUCCUCGGUUUUGCUUGUUGAGAAAAAAUCAUUUCUGUGUGUCAGAAGAUUUUACCGAGGUAUCUUGUUGAGAAAGACCGGGUAUCGUGGGCCAGAAAUUGUUCACAUAUCAUGCCGAGGAGAAAUUGAGGAGCCUUGCCUCAUAAAUUUCUUCCGAUAUCAUGUGGAAUAAUACUGGGUUUUUUAUAUCCAAAACUUCAUACUGAUAUGCAGACUGAAAUCCAUACACACGCCCAUAAUAUUCCGAGGCUAAUUAUUUGCAUGAGAAAUAUGGUUUGACUGCCUUCCUCGAGCAUGUCACAUUCUGACUUUAUUUCGGAUGAUAACAUAUUUCAAGCAUCAUGCAUUGCUGAGCCAAAAUUUUGUAUAUGAUCCAUACCUUUGACUAAAAAUAUACUGUUGACCUUGUACCUGACUUGUCUUGCUGUUUACUUGAUUAUUACUGCUGUGAUGAUUUUGUACUGAUGUAGAUUUGAGUUAUCAGUACUGUUGCGAGGAACACAAACUAUUGCAAAAUUUGAUUAUCAGCCUCAAGAUCAGAUAUUCCCCAUUUCACUGCAGUCGGCUGAGAAUUCCAUUCGGUUUAGCUAAGUUUCCGAAUAUUUGAACUCCUUAUUACUUCUUUGUGUCCGGUGUCAGUUGAUGAGCAAUUCUUUAUAGGGGAAAAAUAAUGUAACACCCGGGCCCAAAAAGAAAGAAGCAAAAGAAAACUCAACUAAACAAAAGCACACAACAACAAUCACUACACACUCAAACAAAGUAACAUAGUACUGCUAGUCACACAAUAUGCAUGCCUACUUAAUCACACAAAUCUCGCGGGAUCUCCGGUUCUACGAUCUAGCAUGCUGUGACGGUGUGCACGAGGAUGAAUAAAUGUGUGGAAGAAUUGGUGUAAACAGCGCAAAACCAAGUGCUAGCUUAGCUAGGUAGCAACCUGAACUAGCUCGGAGGCGAGGACGCACUCGGUAACUAUGUAGUGGGACACGAAGGUCGCAACCACAUUAUUAUCAAGCGGACGGAAAAAGAUCUGUACUCAUCAAAGAAAUAAGGAUAGCGGGGGAAAACUGACGCUGCUGACAUUGGCCUUUUUUAUAGCUAAGAUCAUUAAGGGUUGCCAACACGACAAAAUAAAAGAAUGAUCCGGGAUAGAAGCAUGUCUAUCACCGAAACAAUAGGCGAGACUGAAAGAAAGACAUCAGCGCGAUACCUGAGUACCAUUUCUACAAACAGUGUCGGGAUCACUUGGCAUCACUCUGCUGGGACAGAAAUGACACCAAACACCGAAAGAAAAAGGAACUGGAGAAAUGCAGAGGUUGAGCUAUAGUGGAUCUGAACCGAUGCCAGCUACACUCACCAGAUAAACCAUUAGUAACAAAUAAUAAGGCUAUAUGCAUGCUAUGCAACAAACAAAUGCAGCAACCAAAUGCAAUAAACAAGCCGGACUUUAAACUACCGAUUUCUACCAGUUUCUACCGCUCGCGCUGACUAGGGCGUCCUACAGCCAGACCUGCUCUAAUACCAAGCCUGUGGCACCCCGACUCGGAGAAACCGGAAUGCCCUGUAUUCCAGCCCAGAGAUCGAGGAGAAGUCUCUGGAAUAUGGCACUGCUUGACAUAGAACAAAUCAGCUCUUAUUACAAGAAUAAAUACAAAGGUCUGAUGUUACAAAGGUUCACAUUAGCAUGACAACACUACGCCUGCGAUACUACACUUGCUCUAUGCUAGCAGCGGAACAACUCCAAGCAGCGGAAAUCUUCUAGCAGCGGAACAACGACGAAGGUGGUGAACUCCACUCCGCAGGGACUCUGGCUGGGACACGAUCUAGCUCGCACAAACGGAAACCACGACAAGCAAUCAAGCAAUCACGGCAUCACCUGCAAUAUGGCAUGACACGCCAGGUCAGUACAUUGAAUAUACUUGCAAGCUCACAACAACCAAAAGCAUCAAGGCAA